rnacentral:rRNA from 1 species
AUUGAACGCUGGCGGCAUGCCUUACACAUGCAAGUCGAACGGCAGCACGGGUGCUUGCACCUGGUGGCGAGUGGCGAACGGGUGAGUAAUACAUCGGAACAUGUCCUGUAGUGGGGGAUAGCCCGGCGAAAGCCGGAUUAAUACCGCAUACGAUCUACGGAUGAAAGCGGGGGACCUUCGGGCCUCGCGCUAUAGGGUUGGCCGAUGGCUGAUUAGCUAGUUGGUGGGGUAAAGGCCUACCAAGGCGACGAUCAGUAGCUGGUCUGAGAGGACGACCAGCCACACUGGGACUGAGACACGGCCCAGACUCCUACGGGAGGCAGCAGUGGGGAUUUUUGGACAAUGGGCGAAAGCCUGAUCCAGCAAUGCCGCGUGUGUGAAGAAGGCCUUCGGGUUGUAAAGCACUUUUGUCCGGAAAGAAAUCCUUGGCCCUAAUACGGUCGGGGGAUGACGGUACCGGAAGAAUAAGCACCGGCUAACUACGUG